rnacentral:rRNA from 1 species
GACGCAGUAGGAUAGGCGAAGCGUGCUGUUGGAGUGCACGUCCAAGCAGUGAGAUUGAGUGUUAGGCAAAUCCGGCACUCUUAAGAUUGAGCUGUGAUGGGGAGAGGAACUUGUUCCUCGAGUCGUUGAUUUCACACUGCCGAGAAAAGCCUCUAGCUAGAAUAACGGUGCCCGUACCGCAAACCGACACAGGUAGUCAAGAUGAGAAUUCUAAGGUGAGCGAGCGAACUCUCGUUAAGGAACUCGGCAAAAUGACCCCGUAACUUCGGGAGAAGGGGUGCUCUUUGAGGUUCACGCUUCGAAGAGCCGCAGUGAAUAGGCCCAAGCGACUGUUUAUCAAAAACACAGGUCUCUGCUAAACCGUAAGGUGACGUAUAGGGGCUGACGCCUGCCCGGUGCUGGAAGGUUAAGAGGAGUGGUUAGCGCAAGCGAAGCUACGAAUCGAAGCCCCAGUAAACGGCGGCCGUAACUAUAACGGUCCUAAGGUAGCGAAAUUCCUUGUCGGGUA